CAUCAAUCCAAUGGGAGUACUGCAAGGAGGUCUGCAAACGUGGACUCAUUUGGUCAUGCGGAGGCUCAUGGAAGAAAACCUCAGAUGUUCUCCACAGCACACACGUGGCUCUGAAGUGGAUAACCUGGAUCAGUGCCUAUCAGUUUAGAUGCGGUUACUGAGAAAAUGCAUAUCAAUGGUAAUAUGAGGAGAGAAGACUUCUGAGAGGUUGUGCAUAUACAGUGCCUAUGCCUUCAGUGGUAUGACGACAUUUAAGUCCUGUCUCUUGAAACAGCUCUUUCAACUCUGUGUGCGGUUCACUCUUUUCCUGGAAACAGCUAGCUGUGCUUCACUUAUAGAAAGCUGCCCACUGAGGCAAGAUCAUAGCAUUAUAAUGUUGCUAGUCAUAUACCUUGUCACUGCUGUUGAUCCUGACCUGAACAAAAUUAGAGGAGGCAAAUGUAAAAUGGAGCAUGCAGUGGCAGAAGACAUGAGUUUCAAGCAUAGAGGUGCAUAUGAAAUGCAUCCAAAGGUCACUACAAUUAUUUUGGAGACUGGCUAACUCUGUGUGUGCGUGCGUGUUUUAUUUUAUUGUAAAGGAAGAACAUACAGUACAUACCGACAAAUGCUGAAGAUUGACAAUACAGCCAAUAACCUUUGCAGGAGUUGGGAAAGGAGAAGUUACCAUUGUUAUGCCGAGAGACAGAUGAAGUGACUUUGAUUAUCUAAAGUAAAAAUUGUCGCCUGACAGAAUCCCAGCAGCAAGGCCCUCAUUUUGUGAGAUACGUGAUGAGUUUUUACAGUGUUCUAGUAUUUGAGUUUUAUGUUGUAUGAUAUUCAGCAAGUGACAGUAUGACCCUUUUCUCCCCCAAGAUGUUAUCACUUCUCUAUGGCAAAGUAAUUCUGCUGCUGUCUUACUAGAGAUGAACUCAUGAAUCAGUGAUGUGGGCUGAGGUGGCACUCCAGAUAGCAUUCUCUGAAAUCUAUAAAUCCUUUAAGAAAGACAGUUUCUGUGCUGCUGUAUGUUAUUGUGUCCCAGUCAUGCAAUUCAAUUUUGAAACUGGGGGUGACCUGGAUUUGAGUACUAAAUGGAGAAGAGCCACCAGGAGCUUAAGGAAUCAGCACAUUAUUUGAUGGGAACAAGGUGCUGAAGUCCAGCUAUAUUUAUCUGCUGUUUCUAGUUAGUAGUGAUCACAAACGCUGGAGUAUAAUUUGCUUUCAUAAUCUUUAAUCAUGCCCUUUCAUGCUAGCAGCAGAGUAUUAAUAGAGAACAGAGUCCAAUAUAUUUAUUUCCCUCAACAUGUUGUCUAAACCAAAGAUGUGAAUGCACUCUGCAAACGUUCAAUAAUUAAGCCUCGUAACGUUUCUGUAAAGAUGGUGUUAAUAUGCCUACUUUAAACAAUAAUAAUACUCAUUUACAUAGUACUUUAUACGCUCAAAGCAUUGUUCAGACAAUAAGUAAUCCUUACAGCACCCUUGUGGUAUAAGUGGGUAGGUAUUAUAUCCUUAUUUUACAGAUGUGAAAACGAAGACAAAAAGGUAAAGUGAUUUGUUCAAGGCCACACAGUACAUCUGUGCCAGAAUGAUUAUUAGAAUUCAGGAUCCUCUAAUUCUGAACCCUGUGCUCAACUUCCUUCAGCAUUAAAAAAUGUAAGAUUUUAAUCUUUGACUGAAAGCGGACAGACUUUAGCAUUAGAGGGCUCCACUGACUACAAACCGAUGGGGAAACUGAGGCACAAAGAGAUUAAAGUGCCUUGUUCUAUGCCACAGAGCAAUUCUGUGGCAUAUCCAAGGCAGAGAAGGACUCCUGAAUCCUAAGUCAUUGUCACAUCCAAUGCAGCACUUCCCUUGACUGCUGUUCAUGUGGAUGAGUUUUCCUAUUAAUUCCUUCAUUAUUUGUCUCUUCUCUGAAGACAAAUUAUUCCUCCAUACUAUAUGGUGAAAUCUUAUGUAUAAAGUCCAACAAUUGGGAUUGGUAAAUCCACAAUUGCUAACCUAAAAAAGGAACUAAAUCCAGCUAGAUCUACACUUAAGAAAGUGGAACAAUUUUCAAAAGCUCCGUGAAAAUUCAUUUCCAAGGUAACUUGUUUCAAGAAGGAAAUGUACUGUAAGUUCAGUGGCUGGUGAAUGAGCUCAGAUGGCAGGCAUUAUGUCCACACUCUGAACUGCAGCAGGUAACAGAAAUAAAAGGAGAAUGGGACAAAGAUCAGAGGGGUAUCCUUAGAGAGAAGAUCAUAGACGAAUCAAGCAAGUACUGACUAAUUGAGAAUAAUGCCAGCCAUUGAUUCUUCAUCAAUAUCACUUCCUGUAGCAUCAUUUUUUUCCCAUUGGAGAUAUUCAGUGUAACUAUUAGCUCAGGUGAGCUUGUGAGAUCUGAUGGAAUCACAGAACAUGCUGGCAUUAUCAGUUUUAUUCCAUCCACUAAGCCCAACAUACUGUAUAGUCUAUUUACUGCUCUUAUGCUUUAAAGAUGACGAGAGACUUAGUGAGAGAUCUUGCAUUGCUUAGUACAGUAGUUUCUAAUUUACUUUGCUUGUCAGGAGACUCUUGUAAAUAAAAUUUCAGGAGCUCCUUUCUACUGGAUAAAUAUUUUGAAUAAUUAAUAAAGCAGCAGCAUUCCAUUUCCUAGCAUUUAAUUUAAUGUUUACUCAUAAAUGCAUUGUAGUAUAUGAUGACAUCACACCUUGCCUUGGGAGCAUGAAGGCUAGGAUUUCUCAUUUGGUUUCUUUUCAUACUAUAUUUAAUAUGAGCUCUUCAUCAAAAUCUAAGUAUUGUGGGUGAAAAGGAGGACAGUGUGACUAGAGUUUAAAUCUUAUAAAGGAAACACAACCUAGUCACCUCUUGUAGAAUCCAGCUUUAAC